CCUACGGGAGGCAGCAGUGGGGAAUUUUGGUCAAUGGGGGGGAGCCUGAACCAGCCAAGUCGCGUGAGGGAAGACGGUCCUAUGGAUUGUAAACCUCUUUAGGCGGGGAGCAAUGCCGGGCACGUGUGCCCGGAGGGAGAGUACCCGCAGAAUAAGCAUCGGCUAACUCCGUGCCAGCAGCCGCGGUAAUACGGAGGAUGCGAGCGUUAUCCGGAUUUAUUGGGUUUAAAGGGUGCGUAGGCGGAUUUUUAAGUCAGCGGGAAAAUGUCCGGGCUCAACCCGGGACGGGCGUUGAAACUGGGGAGCUUGAGAGGGCGAGAAGUAUGCGGAAUGCGUGGUGUAGCGGUGAAA
rnacentral:rRNA from 1 species